AGCCGGGAGAGUUACUUCCCUUUUAGAGGUUUUCUUUCAAUAAGUGACAGUUCGUUUACUUCCGGUAAAACUUGCACGUGAAGACCAAAUCUUGCAUGUGUUUUUGUUUUGACGUCAAUUUUAUAAUAAGUAACAUAUGCAGAAUGCUACAUGCAUAUAUAUGACAUGAGACUGGAAUGCUUAUCAAAUCACAGUCGCUGUUUAGUAUUCGACAAGUGUUAUUGAGGUUUUCCAGCUCAAGACCAGCGGAAUUCUCCGAUGUAAACAAGUGGAUAUCAAAGGUGGACAAUAUGCCGAGAAUAAAAGUCGAGAGGAAACUUCGCCAUGUGAAGUAUCGAGAGAGAAUGGGAGACAAGCUCAAGGCUCCUUCAUUCGUAAAUGUUGUUGUAAUCGGGAGUGGAGGGAGAGGUAGUCCACGCUCUGUCAUUAUUGAUACAAGCAUAUCUAAGAGAAUAUCACCAAGUCCUACAAAAACUUUACAGCUGCUUACACUACCAUUGCUCAACUAGAGAAAAGAGAACUGAGUGAGGGUGAUUUUUCCGACUCUGCAAUAAAGGUAGAGUACAUACCUCUAUACAACAGGGAGACACCAGGGGAUGCCACCAGUCGGGACCACACCAAGGAUGGAGAAGAGGCUGUUGCUGACGAGCCAGGUUUUAUAUCAGGGCCGGACAACGGACGAGGGGGUACUGACACAAGUUCACUUGAAAAAAUCAGUCAGGUGAGCUAAAACUUAAUCACGUCUUAAUUUUCCAAUAUUUUAUUCACUAGUGAAAUAUGAUACAUGAUCUAUGAAGAACAAAAGAAACAGAUAAUUAUUUAUAUACCACACGUAAAUGAAGCGACAAAACCCUUUUCAUAUCCAAUAGAAAUAUCUGCAUAAAGCAGAGUCGAUUGUACGAUUCCGACUAUAUCAUGAGCAUGUGUUUAUGAUUCACUAUCAAAUAGUAAUGAUACAAGGG